GCCCGCUUCAUCCCCUGCCCCUUGGCCUCAGCACUUCCGUCACACCUGCCCAGGAGGCCAUUCAGGAAAUCCACCAGCCUAGACAGGGUUGGACAGUGUGGGGAGAGGACACUUCAGCUACUCCCCUCUGAGGCCAGUGUCAACCUGGGUGGACGAGACCUCCUCCUCCUCCUGCCCUGCUCCUCCUCUCCUCCUCCUCUCCUUCCUCCCCCUCCUUCUCCUCCUCGUCCGCCUCCUCCUCUCCUCCUUCUCUUUCUCCUCCUCUCCCUCCUCCCCCUCCCUGCUUCUUCUGUAGUGAAUAGCAUCCCCUCAAAACCCAUGUCCUGCUGGAACCUGUGAAUGUGGCAGUCUGGAAAGGGGGUCUUUGCAGAUGUCAGGAAGUUAAGAUGCUCUAAAUCCAGCCUAAAUGCACCCAAAUCCACGGGGCUCUAAAUCCACUAACUAGCGUCCUUACAAUGAGAGAGAGAUUUGGGGACAAAGAGUGAGGAGGCCACGUGAAGGAGAGGCAGAGAUCGGGGCAAUACAGCCAUGAGCCAAGGCACACCUGGGACCAAUGGGAACUGGAAGAGGCAGGACGGGUCCCCGAGCCUUGGAAGGGAGGGCGGCCCUGCCAACAGCUCGACUGUGGACUCCUGGCCUGCAGAACCGUGAAAAAGUGAGUUUCUGCUGUUUUAAGCCGCCAAUUUGUGGCACACUGUCACAUCAGCCUAAGGGCACUCAGUUGUGUUUAGGGUUUGGGGGUAAGUGUGUCCCCCCCCCCCCCGCAAGAGGAUCAGAGAGACCACAGAGGGAUUGCAAUGUUCUCUGAGCUGGGCACACGGGAGGGGAUGGAAGCGGUGGGCGAGGGGGCCAGCAGGAGAGUCUGAGCGUCCUGUUCUUGCCCCAGGGCUCUGGGGGUGCAAGGCAGAGAGGCCAAGCCAGCCUGGGCCACCCUGGUCCCAGAGGUCGAGCUGGCCCAGCUGCUCCAGCAGUGUGCACGGACACCGCCCACAUCUCCAGACAUGAGGACAGUGGUGCGGGGCUGGGGCUGGGCAGUGCUGGGCCGGCGGAGGGAACCCGGGAAGGCAGGGACUUCACAACCCUCAUGAAACACAGACGCUGGGGUCUGGGGUGAGAAGGACUCGCGGCUGGGGCCACAGGUCAGACAGUGGGUCCCCAUCACCAGGACUGCAAGGUGGUAUGUGGGCAUCGGCAGGUGGGACAGAUGUCCCUGGAGAGCCUGCACCACCUCAGGUCCUAAGACAUCUGGGAAAUGAAGCAGGCAGGAGGUAUCCAGGGCCCCAAGAGAGCCACAGACAGAGCCACCAGGCCCAGGUACACAGCCCAAGGGGCCCUGGAGAAGGACCCCCAGGGGCACCGAAGCAGAAGCCCAUGGAGUACCCCAAGGAGGGAAGAGAAGAAUCCGGAAACAAAGCCUCGGGGAAGAACCGCACCUGACCUCCCUCCUGCCUGGUGGAAGCUGUCCACGCUGCCGGCACAGCCCCCGGAGGGAAAUAACCAAGCCCGCCCCUGAGGAUCUAGAACCUGCUAUCAGCUUCACAGCUGAAUCCAAAUUCCCAAACUCCCAAGUACUGGUGUACAGUGAAGGAUUAACUGAACUCACAGAAAGUCUGACCUUUCCCCCGGCUCCUGGGGCGGUCACCUCUAGGCCCUUGAAGAGUCCCGCCUGAUGAGAGUGUCUUUGUUUACCUGAGGGCUUAGCCACCCUGAACAGCCUAUGCUAAUGAUAAGAUUCAUGGUGGGGCCUUGAACCACAGGGCAUCAGCUUGACGUGCGGAGGUGCUGGAGGUUAAGGUCAGUCACAUGGUGUCAGCCGUGCCCACGUGACCAAGGCCCAGCAAAGACUCUGGACACCGAGGCUGGCGGAGCGUCCCUGGUUGGCAAUGCUGUGUGCCAUCACACGCUGUUGUCAUGAGGAGUUAACACUGUCCAGGACUCCACGGAGAGGGACAGCUCGAAGCUCUGUGCUGGGAACCCUCCUGGGCUCACCCCAUGGGUCCCUCCCCUUGGCUGACUUAAACCUGCAUCUGUAAUAAACUAUAACUGUGAGUGCA